rnacentral:lncRNA from 1 species
GAUGCACGCAGCAGGUCAGAGCACAGGAUUUUACUCAUCCUUCGAGCCUUAAACCCAUGGAAUUAAAACAAAAAACCCACAAUUAGAAGAGAGGAAUUAAUCAGUAAAUCAACUUUUACCCUUUUUCUUCGUUAAUGAAACCAGCAUAUGGUCCCCAUCCUGAAGACCAGCCGCCUCCUGCUCGUGGUUCCUCUCUCUCUGCCACACUCAUUCCCUCCACCUCGUCCCCGUCUCCAUCGCCCUCUCCCUGGGAUUUUAAUUACAUUCAUCUAUUUCCACUCACUAGGUCUGUCACUUUGCAGCGGGGCCGCUGUAAUUAUGCUGUGGGAAGCAGAGCUCACUUCGCCGAACCCUGAGCGGAUUAAGGAUCCUCCGUGCCUUUUCCCACCCCUCUCUGCCAGGUCUGAAGGGGUAGAAACCAUCACUGAACGCCACAUCGUCCCAUGUAAACAAGGCGGACUUGUUCAUUCUCUUUAUUUUAGGUAUCAAACUGAAUGUUCCAGCUCUUGGAGAAUUGGAUUCACUCUUUCCAGGCGUGUCUCCCAGUGCUUUAAAGCUUUAAAGGCAUCGCUCCACUCUUUUGGAUUAGUGACCCAUUCUAACUGCUCCUCAUUGACCGACACUGUGGGUCUGUCAGAGUCCAUUGGACGCAGCUUACAAAGGAGUUUGAGCCGGAGAUGAAGAGUUUACAAAAAGUUUGUAGGAAACCACGGAGUCCUUUGAAAAGAGAAUAAACUGCCACUGCUGUGUCUGGGCUGAGUUAAU